AGGACGAACGCUGGCGGCGUGCCUAAUGCAUGCAAGUCGCACGCAGUCGCUUCGGCGACUGAGUGGCGCACGGCUGAGGAACACGUGGGUACCUGCCCUGCAGUGGGGGACAACAGCGCGAAAGCGCUGCUAAUCCCGCAUACGGUCGCGCAAGCGAGGAAAGCCUUCGGGCGCUGCGGGAGGACCUGCGGCCUAUCAGGUUGUGGUGUGGUAACGGCGCACCAAGCCGAGUGACGGGUAGCUGGUCUGUGAGGACGAUCAGCCAGACGUGGGACUGAGACCGACGGCCAGACUCCUACGGGAGCAGCAGCAAGGUAUUUCC
rnacentral:rRNA from 1 species